rnacentral:rRNA from 1 species
UACAGAGGUCCCGAGCGUUGUUCGGAUUCACUGGGCGUAAAGGGUGCGCAGGUGGGUUGGCAAGUUUGAUGUGAAAGCCCCGGGCUUAACCCGGGAAUGGCAUUGAAUACUGCUGAUCUGGAGGAUUGGAGGGGGGACUGGAAUUCUUGGUGUAGCAGUGAAAUGCGUAGAUAUCAAGAGGAACACCGGUGGCGAAGGCGGAUCUCUGGGCCAUUACUGACGCUGAGGAGCGAAAGCGUGGGGAGCGAACAGG